AGACGCUUCCCUGCCCUCUCGCCUCAACCACCUCGAGGCAGCGGCUCCCAGGAUGUGCACUUUGACGACUAAAGCUGAGCCGGCGCCGCCACGACCUUGGGCGGGUGGUCGGCCUCUGCCCUGAGCAGGAAGUAGAAAGUCUCAGCAGACCCUUCCUGAGGGCCGAGCAACAGUGUAGUGGCGUAUUCCACAUAGCAAACAGUUUUCUGAAGCUCAGAGGGACACCUUGUAUUGCUGGAUGAUAAAAACAGGAGCAAAGUGAUGAAGUGCUGACAAGGCAACAAUAGAACAUGAGAGAUUCACUGCUGUGUAGGAAGAGAUCUUCGGUGACCAUGUAGCCUGAAGCUCUCAUUUUGUCAUCGAGGGACACCAAAACUCAGAACAGAUAGAGUCUUGCUCUGUGACCCAGGCUUGUGUGCAGCGGUACGAUAUUGGCUCACUGCGACCUCCACCUCCCAGGUUCAAGCAAUUCUCCUGCCUCAGCCUCCCAAGUAGCUGGGAUUACAGAUGAGGUCUCCAAGGGACCAGAUGGAGAACAGAUGCAACCACACUGAAGUCAGAAUCGCAGCUUGCCUCCGACACCUGACGCUUCACUGUUGGCGAGGCCCACUAUGCCUCGCUCUCCCCCUGUAAUGAGUUCUAUCCCAGAGGCUCCUAUACCCUUUAGAAAUAAACUGCUCAGGCAGCCCAACCAGUUCAUCCAAGAGGCCUGGAACCACAGCAGCGUCGACAGCUGAGAUGAGAGUUGGUCCCUGAUCUGAUACAGAGCCUGGGUUUAGCUUUGAUUUCUCUCUUCCUAGGCAAGAUCUUUAGAGAAUAACUUUUUGUGCCUGGCCAUCUCCUGCUCUUUUCUCAACCCAAAAGGGCUAUGUUCACCUAAAGAGGAAAAGCAAGAAGGCUUCCUGGGCUCGGGAGGUCAGGGCUGGAAAGAACUGCUCACCAUUUCUGAGCCGAUGAGGACUCACCUGGGCUCCUCACUGGUCAGGGAACUGUGGCCCAGCCGCAGAGUGAUUGCUUUGUCAAGAAGGGAAACAUUUACCUUUCCUUCUUCCCUCUGCUCUCUCCUAAUUAACAAUUAAAUGGAAGGAGUUGAAAAGACAUGUCAGAGACUUCAAUCUCCUCCCGGCCUGAGGAUGAAGGGGGCUCGAACCUGAAUGUUCUCUUCGCUGUGGCCAGAACCUAGGGGGCUGGGGUUGCUGCCAGCUCGACUGGAGGCCUGCUUCCAGCCCCAGGCUGUGGAAUGUGCUGGGGCCACAGGCAGGUCAGGCCAGGCUUUCUGGGGAGUGAAUGCUCUCUGCCAGUGGCGGAUGGAACUGGUAGACACGUCCCCCGGAUUCCUCGCCUGCAAGUGGGAUGGUGCCAGGAAAGUUCUACACCAUCCUUCCCAGGUCCCAGGAGGACAAGCACAGUUGUCCACAAGUGUGGAUCAGUGUUAAAAGUGCUUCAUGGAGAAAUGGAGGCCUGAAAGCGACUCUGAAGGAGGAGUGGGGCUCAGCAAACAGCAGACGAGUUUCAAUCCAAGCACCCAUUACCCCCCUAACACACGGCAUACGUGCAUCUCAUCUCCUCCUGUGUCGCUAAGAAGCUACCCAUAUGUCUGUCAUUAAUUCUCCAGAAUCCUUGGACACACCCCUCUGCAGAGCUUUCUAACAGGAAAUACAAGUCUCAGAUUUUUUUUUAAGUUAAAAUUGAGUGCAGCACUCAUACCUUUCUUCGAGCAUGAACCGUCAAUCAACACUGCCUCAUGAGCUACUGCUCUCCUGCUCUUUGAAAAGACAAAUCCUUAUUUCUUUGUAGUGAUCCAGAAGGCAGUGGGAAGAAUGACAGGUGCUUGGUUAUCUUCAAUUUAAUCUCUACCUUUCAAUGGGGCUAGUGCAAGCUAGGGCCAUUUUACUGCACCCAAAGGAAUUUAAGACAUUUCUAUUAUCUCUAAAGAAUCCAGAUUAACAUGCCUUCUUGGUGGGCAGGGAGACCAGCUAUGAAUUCUAGGAUCUCAAUUCAAAUGCUUUUGAAUUCUUCCUGCUUGUUCAGUUAAUUACAUAUAUGUCACCACAAUCUUGCUUUUUUUUUUCUAUGCUUCUAAUUUUCUCUGAAACUAUA
ensembl:lncRNA SLC44A3-AS1 SLC44A3 antisense RNA 1